rnacentral:lncRNA from 1 species
CUUGGAGACUUCAGACACUGGAUUCCACUUUCAAAUAUGAACCUGAAAUAAAGCAGCGGACACUACUCGCACUGGCAUUUCCUCAACCCGCAGGAACAUGACUGUUUCAUAAUAACUCAGGAAGAUGAACGUCAACGUCCUCUAAGGGAAAACGUGUUGCAAUAAUACGCAGCAUACAGAACAACCACGCUCUCUCUGGUUACAGCUGAACGACACCACAGCAGCAGCAGAAUAUGUACAAAUUAAACUGUAACAGUGUACCAAGGAGAGGUAUGGUAAUAUCAUAAAAAUUAUCCACAGUACAAUAUGACUAAUGUUGUGUGAAAUGCAUUCACUGGCAAAAUGAUGUUUAGGUGUAUCUGAAGGAGUUAUGCUGAUGGAGUUAAUGGUUAUGGAACAUAGAUAACGGGAGGAAAGGCGACUGAAAGACGAAAGGUUGCAGCAAGGGCAGUGCGGCUGCUCGGCUGAGGAGGACUGUCCAGCAGGCGUAUUGGAAGGUGGGAGAACUGAAACAUAAAGGGAUGUGAUAAGAAUAAAGUUGUAUCUCUCCUGCUCA